rnacentral:rRNA from 1 species
AUUGAACGCUGGCGGCAGGCCUAACACAUGCAAGUCGAGCGGAUGAAGGGAGCUUGCUCCUGGAUUCAGCGGCGGACGGGUGAGUAAUGCCCAGGAAUCUGCCUGGUAGUGGGGGAUAACGUCCGGAAACGGGCGCUAAUACCGCAUACGUCCUGAGGGAGAAAGUGGGGGAUCUUCGGACCUCACGCUAUCAGAUGAGCCUAGGCCGGAUUAGCUAGUUGGUGGGGUAAAGGCCUACCAAGGCGAGGAUCCGUAACUGGUCUGAGAGGAUGAUCAGUCACACUGGAACUGGGACACGGUCCAGGCUCCUACGGGAGGCAGCAGUGGGGAAUAUUGGACAAUGGGCGAAAGCCUGAUCCAGCCAUGCCGCGUGUGUGAAGAAGGUCUUCGGAUUGUAAAGCACUUUAAGUUGGGGGGAAGGGCAGUAAGUUAAUACCUUGCUGUUUUGACGUUACCAACAGAAUAAGCACCGGCUAACUUCGUG